CAGGGACUUGGCAGCCGGUCAAGGUCUUGUGAUACGAUCAGCAAAGCCAAUUUCGUGUCCUUUGACUUGGAGCCCCAACGCCCGUCCCUGGGCAGCAGCACCGCGGGGCUGGAAAGAGGAGCCAGGCUCGGCCGCUCGCUCCGUGCCCUUCCCCGGGCAGAGUGCGCGAGGGCGGGGUGCAGCCGCCCGGGGAAGUGCAGCCGCACGGCGGCCCCGGGCUCGCGCGCUGCCUAGCUUGUGCAGGGAGGGAGGAAGGAAGCCCGCGGUAGGGGCAUUCAUAAAUCUGGCCCGGCUCCGACAUCCAGGCUUGUAUAAACACGUUCGACGCUACGAUUCUGCAGUCCCAAUACUUGCGUUUGCUAACGGUUGGAACACAUGCAAGGGGGAAAAUGGAUGCGCGUGUAAAAGUUUCCCUGCAGGAUUUGGGUUACAAAAGCAGUGGAGACGUUUGAUCCUCUUUCGGUUCUUUCUGAGCUGGGAUGUCAAGCCCUGAAAAUCCGAGGGUGCAAGUCUGCCCACGUCAGCAGGAAACCUGCACUUUGCAAAGAAAUUUACCAAAGGAAAAGCAACUUCACUGGCGUUUUAUUGGGACAUUUUGCGCCAGGUCUUCACACCAGGUUUUCGCAAAACAGCUCACGCCUCCAUUUGGCUUCCUCCUCAGUGUGACUGUGUCCAGCCCCGCGGAGAAAUGCACUUCUGGGAGCGGCUGCAGUUUAGCAGCCUCUCAGCGCAGCAGCACAGUCCCUCCUCCUGCAAAAGGCAGCACAGGGUGCGAUAUGUCACCCCAUUGCUCAAUCUGUUAAAAGGUCACAAUUGCUGACUGUGUUAAUAAACCAUAAAGAAAUGGAAACUAACGUGGGCCAUUACUUCUCCGUUUAAAAAUAAAAGAUACCUAGAAGAAAUUGCACCGGGGGUUGGGGGAAACCAAGUCACAUUCCUUGCUGUACCACAAUCCUUCAUGGGACAAAUCUCUAACUCACCAAAUGCACCUUGUAAACUAAUCUACUUGGCAGCACUUUCUAACUCGCGGCUGAGAAGCUGCGUUGCUAAAUUAGAGGUGGACGUGACAUGUUGACAUUUAGUCUCGCAGUGGUUUUAUGGUUAUAUGUCACCCUCUAGUGGCCCAACCCUGCGAAGGCAUUCCAGUUACAGGAGGCAACAAUAUUCCAUUUUCAUCAGUAUCCGAACAAAACUUAAGUUUUCCUUUAAUAUGUUCCUGCAGUUCUGUGAAAACAUUACGUUGUUAGUGAUUUACCACGUAAUGAGACUCAGGUCCUAAAAUGGGGAAAAAAUUAAAUUGAGAUUACCCUUAUAUAUUUCCAAUAAUGUAUAUUUUCUCUUUAGCCGCCUCCAUUCAUUUGGUUUCAUGCUAAUGUGAUUAGUUCAAACUUCCCUCUCCUCCCCUAUUCAAAAACUAAACCAUGUAAUAAGAUUAGAAAACACCAUGUUGAGGGAGAUCCUGCCCCUUAGUUACCAGUCUAAGUAAAUACAUAGUUUAUGAAAAAAGAAAAGGGAGUACUUGUGGUCAUGCAAAAAGCAGUGUAUAAUCAGCGUUUGAACAACAAAUACUUUGAUACAUUGACUCAGAUCAAAUACAUCACAGAUAAGUACUACUAGACACUGCUAAUCCUGUACUGCAGCUGCUGUUUAAGGUUUAAAGGUUUCUGAUUUAGUAGUUAUACAGUAACCCAAAUCACCAACAAUAUGUGGUGAAAUGUAUGCAAGAUGAUGUAAAAUUAUUUGCUCUCUAUAAACUAAGAGAUAUUAGUUGAAAGUUACACUUUAAAAAACAUUGAUAAAGAAGAUUAAGAUUUAAAGUAAUUUUGUUCACUGAUUAACCAUGUUCUUGAGGCUUUACAAAGCUACUUAUGUUCUGUUAUAAAUCUUGUGGAUAUACUACUGUGCUGUUAAAAGUUGUUUUACUCAUUUUUAUACCAUUCAAACUACCAAGCCCCACACAAGAAGAGCAGCAAUGAAGGAUUUUUGAAAUUCAGCAGGAUUAAUUUCUAUUGGUAUUAUCCCAUGAAAAGUGAAUAGCUAUACCACAUGUUAAAAAAAAGUUGAAAAGGUGUGUAAAGUGACAGUUACUAACUGUUAGUGUUGAACAAAUGUACUUACAGAUAGCUGAGAAAAAAUUUAUGCUAUUUAUCUAAUGAUCAGAAAAUAGCUUUUUCAUAAAAUAUAUUUGAUGACUAA